UUUGCUUAUUUUCUAAGAUUUCAUUUGUUUGUCUGCCAUCUAGUGGUGGUUAACUGUAUGUUGCUUAUAAUCUCAUUAAGGGUCAGUUUUGCCAAAAUAAUUACAUUUCUUGAUUUGGAUGUGGCUUGAAAUUCUAAACAACUUUCUAGUGGAAGUUUAUCAUUGGAUUUGCCUUUUUCCCUUGUUGGUAAUGUUGAAAAUCUAAACCUAAGUGGGCUCAAACUAAUUUUCUGAAAUAUUGGAACCACCUCUUGGCUCAGAGAAAUUUGAAAGUUUGACACAGUUAGACAGAACUACAUACUGGGUUUCAUUUAGAUAACAUUGCGCUUACUCCCGUGGAGGUAUUUAGGAGUUGGCAAUGAGGGCCAAUCUGCAUGUCUGGCAAAGCACUGAGAUAAGGGAGCUGCCUGCAGAGGUUUAGAUAUAAGAUAAUCACAAAGGUAACACAUUUUAUUCCAGUUGGCUUUUUGCAAAACUUGGGAACAAGUAAGGGAUUAUCUAGUUUGUUUGUUUUUUUUAAAAAUGGAAAUUAUGAUGUAGUCUGUGCCUUUAAAAUAAUUUUAUGUUUUCUUUCCUUUGGUGGAUAUAAUCAUGUGUAUGUGUUGUCAUAUAAAUGUAUUUCUAUAAUUUAUAGGAUUUAAUAUGUACAUUAGACAAAUGGUCCAUGCAAUCAUUUCUCAUUUGAGAAUUAUUCUUUAAGGUUUUUUCCAAUUUAUUCCUCUGAAGGAUAUGUGUCAUGAUAUGGUGGGUAUUCUUCAUUGUACGGAGUAUGGGAGUUCAUAUGUUACAAUCUCUUUCAUUACAAAAGGGGUCACAGCACUGUCGGUGGCACCAUUACUUAUGUUAGGUAGUAUAAUGUGACAAUAAUAGGGUACAGUUUUAGCAUAAGCCAAGAGGGUUGUAGAUCAUCUUCCUAAGGGUAGACUGCAGCAGUAAAACUUUGUGCAGACCCUCUAAAAGUUUGAUCUCUAAAAAAAAUUACCUUGGGUUCAGACUAACUUUAUAGCAUUGCAAGCUCUGUUGGUGCUUUGCAUAUACCUGAUGAUGUGGAUAAUAUGAUAUAUAUAUGUGUAUGGCGAUUGGAUAUCGCCCUCUUUCGGAGGAUACUCGGAUCUUGCAUUGCAACUAUGAAUUUACUGCUUUGAGAUCACUAAUAUGAUUGUGGUAUUUCCUCUGGUGAGGGGAUUUCCGGGUCGGCGUCGGAUCCUAUUGGUAGUAUUUAACAUACUUUUACAUUUUACUCAGGGUGUUUUUUCACCUGUGGUUUUUACCAGGGGUCCACUCUGCCUGGUGGGAUGUAUUGAAUUGUCACACGUAUUUCAAUUACCCUUAUAUAGGUUGAUGUAAAAGGGUAAUUCCACUAUAGUAUACCCAACCAUCCUUAGAUUUGGCAUCAAGGCCAAAAUGUGUUGACAUAGCUUGUAGUGGACAUUGCACUCCCAGUGGGGUAAGGAGGAGAUGGGGUAAUAAAGUGUUAAUUUCACAUUGUUCUAUACAAGUAUGGGGAUCAGUUUGUGGCCAAUAGGUACACAAUGUGAUACAGUAAUGAGAUCUGAUUAUACCUACAGAUAUGGGAUACAGGCGCAGGUAUAUGUACACAAUGUGAUAAAGUAAUGAGAUCUGAUUAUACCUACAGAUAUCAUAUAAAGACACAUGUAUAUGUACACAGUGUGAUAAAGUAAUGAGAUCUGAUUAUACCUACAGAUAUAAGAUACAGACACAUGUAUAUGUACACUAUGUGAUACAGUAAUGAGAUCUGAAUAUACCUACAGAUAUAAGAUAAAGACAUGUAUAUGUACACAGUUUGAUAACGUAAUGAGGUCUGAUUAUACCUACAGAUAUAAGGUAAAGACACAUGUAUAUGUACACAAUGUGAUAAAGUAAUGAGAUCUGAUUAUACCUACAGAUAUAAGGUAAAGACACAUGUAUAUGUACACAAUGUGAUACAGUAAUGAGAUCUGUUUAUACCUACAGAUAAGAUAAAGACACAUGUAUAUGUCCACUUUAAUACAUGGAAUCAGCUGGUUCAUGUACGUAAAUGAGCCAUAAAGGAGCAAAGACACAGAUCCCCUGCUGCAUUGUCACAAUGAGGUCUCCACUUCUGCCACACUCCUAAAUCUGGAAACAGACAAGGAAGCAAUAUAAAAACAUUUAUUUCGGGGGGCGUGUCUGAACAGUGAUCCUGAGUGGUUGAAUCUCCAUGAGCUCUAGCAGAUCCACUGAUAAUCCGCCGAUUAUUGGAGAAAUUCUUCCGCAAAACCACCCAAACUAAACGAUAAUAUAUUGCUUUCUACUGUGGGAAGCCUACUAUACUUGUUUGAGCUGUAUUUUUGACAUUAGAGCUCAGGUUCAGACAUCAGAGGCCUAGAGCACCAGCUCGAAAUAGGAAAUUCUUCCCCCUCAGUAUCUCUCAGUAUUUAGCCUUAACUGGUCGCAACAGAGUACUCACACAUUAAACAUUACUAGCCUAAGAUCGAAUUAUACUACAGUUGUUGAUGGUAAUCAUGGGAGACACCAGCUCACAAAAUUAUCCCGAUCGACAACUUGAGAAGAUUGAGGGCCUGAUGCGUUCCUUGAUAGAAAGAGCUCCUUUCAACAAUCUAAUAUAUUACUUCACCACUAAAUACAUAGCCACAGAUAUGACCCACAAACCAGCAGAAAUAACAUACUCAACGGGUGGCGAUGCUUAUCAACAUCCAGUGGGGUCACCUACCCUGCAGAAUCAGACUCACUUUCCAGAUCCCGCCUUUGGCAUCAUGCAAGUUCUCCAGGCUGAGGCCAGAAUCGUUGCCCUUCCAUCUUACUCACAGAGCUAUGGGUCUGUUGAUGCAGACCUGAGCAAGAUUGCCAUCACUCCUCAAACAUUGAUGACUUCAAAACAUCUGAUAUUGAUUAGAGCAGGCCUCACUGAGCUGGACCAAAUGCAAGCCAAAUAUACUCCCAUCCAGCCCUACAGUCACCCAGACCUUUAACAUAGCUGCUAUACACGCAAUGAAUCUGGACCUAAAGUCUGAAUGCCACUCUCCCAAAGUGUCGGAUCAUGCUCAGACAAUAUACCCACAUUGUGGCCAUGACGCUUACUCUACUGACAAUCAACCACACCAGGUGAAUGAAUGGCAGGCUCAGGUGACUCUCAAAAAUAUCUACUUCAUGGCUAACUUAGCCUUUAUUGUUUUGAGUUGCCCAAGCUCCUGGCCAGGGCUCACAAUGUCGCUGUGUACUUACUGCCCGAUACUUUGCAAUGAUAUAAACCAAAACACUACACAAGGGCAUCAACUGACUAAGUCAGAGAUAUACAAUGCCUCAAUGUCCACAAUACAAAUCACUAAUGACUUGAAGGCACAAUCCCUGAUGGACACUGAGGACCUACUAUUCAGGGUUCAUGGAACUUUCAACUACCCGGCUGGACAUUGGAGAGUCCCUUGGUGACACUCUACACACUUUCAUCCAGUAUACCUCAACAAAUUUAGCAUAUAUGACACAUACUUCUCCAACAUUUAUUACAGGGGAUUUGACCUUGUACCUGCAGAGGAUUGACUUGCCAACUCAACCAGCAACAUUUAUGACAGAAUUACAUUUUAUGAUAUCUAAAAUGUCUUGACCUUUCUGUUCUUAUGCUUAUUCCUAUCUGGUCUUUCACAUGGUUAACUUUCAUUAACAGAUGUUUAACAUUAAAUAGUACCUUAUUCCCACUGGCAAUGAUAUUAAGCAAUAUAAGAUUCCUUUAAAAUGCCAUGGAGAUGCAAGACACUAUAACCAUAGGGAUAUAGAUACUUAAAGGGACAGAAAACCCCAAAAAUUUAUUUCAGGAUUUGGAUAGAACAUACAAUUUUAAACAACUUUCCAAUUUACUUUUAUUAUCAAAUUUGCUGCAUUCUCUUGUUAUCCUUUGCUGAAGGAACAGCAUUGCACUACUGGCAGCUAGCUGAACACAUCUAGUUAGCCAAUCACAAGUGACAGAUCUGUGCAGGCACCAAUCAGCAGCUAGCUCCCACUAGUGUAGGAUAUGUGUGUAUUCUUUUUAAACAAGGGAUACCAAGAGAAAGAAGCACAUUUAAAAAUAGAAGUGAAUUUAAAAGUGUCUUAAAAUAAUGAUCUAUCUGAAUCAUGCAAGUUUAUUUUUUACUUUCUUAUCCCUUUAAUGAGACAUGUUCCCUAUCCUUGCAGGAGAUUUUCACCUACACUAGAACUAUGUAAUUUUUACUAAGCAUAACCAUAUUACUUGAGCAUUAGAUACCUGUAUAUAUUUUGAAUCUUUAUUACAUAUAGUACGCCCUAACAUAAUGAUGACCUUUGGAUCUUAUUACCUAAUAGGUUUCUGGCAUUUUGGCCUGUGGCCAGGGCAGCGGUCAGGAUCCAUGUUCUGAUAAAUUUUCUAGUAGGCAUCAGUAUAUAUCUCUUUACAUAGGCGUUUAUUUACUUAUUAAUCCCGUACUUCAUCCUAAUAAUUGCUAACUAGGCACUUAUAUAUUUUAUACUCCUGCACUCAAUCUCUUAAAUUUAUCUAUGACAGUUUUCACUUGUCUAAAUAUUCUCAUGAUUGUUUUCUUAUUAUUGGCCACUAGAUGGCUCUAUUAAUAUGACAUAUGGAAUAUGGACACUUCACACAUACUUGUGUUGCAAACUAACACCAAGAUUACAAGUUGUGCGCUAAAGCCGGUGCAUAAAUAACGCCAAAAAAAUUGCGGUAUCGCACUCUCCAUAGCGCUGCCAUUACAAGUUACCGAAAAACCUUCUUUUGUUGUGCGAUAUGGUGCAAUAAGCUCCAUACCGCACAAAACCCAAGGCCUGACUUGAUGUGCUCGUGCACGUUUUUCCCCAUAGACAUCAAUGGAGAGAAAAUGUUAGAAAAAAACUAACACCUGCGAUCGCAGAAUGGCGAUCGCUAUAACGCAACCCCAAUUGAUAUCUAUAGGGAAAAAGAAAGUUAUGUAAAAACCUAACACCCUAACAUAAACCCCUAGUGUAAAUACCCCUAAUACGCCGCCCCCCGACAUUGCUGACACUAAUUAAAGUUAUUAACCCCUAAACCACUGCCCUCUGAAAUCGCCAACACUAAAUAAACAUAUUAACCCCUAAUCCAUUGACCCCCCCCCACAUCGCCAAAGCUAAAAUAAAGUAUUAACCCCUAAACCACCAGCCCCCCACAUCGAUACUACUAAAAUAAAUCUAUUACCCCCUAAACCAAUGUCCCCCACAUCGCAAAACACUAAAUUAAACUAUUAACCCCUAAACCUAAACCCCCCCAACUUUAAAUUAAAAUUACACUGUAACUACCUUAAAAUAAAUAAAAACUUACCUGUGAAAUUAAAAAAAACUAAGAUUAAACUAUAAAUUAACCUAACAUUACUAUUUAAAAAAAAAUGUAAUAAACUGAAAAUAAAAAAAACUAAAUAAUAAUAUUAAAGAAACAGAACACUACGGAAAAAAAACAACUAAAUUACGAAAAUUAAAAAUAAUAUAACAUUACAAAAACACUAAAAUUACAAAAAAUAAAAAAACACUAAGAUUACAAAAAAAUAAACGAAAUUAUCCAAAAUAAUAAAAAUUAAACCUACUCUAAUAGCCCUAUAAAAACAAAAAAGCCACCCCAAAAUAAAAAGACCCCAUAAUCUAUCAAUAAACUACCAAUAGCCCUUAAAAGGGCCUUUUUUGUAGGGAAUUGACCUAAGUUAAACAUCUCUUUUACAUAAUACAAUUACAAAGUCUCCCCUAAAAGUAAUCCCCCCACCCAACCAACCUCCCAAAAUAAAAAAAAACUAAGUCUAAAAA